UUUUUUAAAAAAAAUCAUUUCAUCAACCAAUCGAUUGGAUUCCUAGCAUCAAUCGAUUGAUCCUCUUAUUUUUUCAACUUUUUCACUAUGCCAAUCGAUUGGUCCAUGAGUGUCAAUCUAUUGGUCUUUAAAUUUUUUAAUUUUAUUUGUUCAGCCUACGCAUGAUUUAUUUCCCACUAUUCCUUCACAUGUGCUUCCUACUAUAUCUACUGAUACACUCUU
rnacentral:lncRNA from 1 species